GGUGUGUGCAGGGGCAGAAUGUGCCAGAAUGCACCAGAAUGUGCUGGCUCUCACCUUGCCCAGCUGCCGCUGGUGAGUCGUGGGGGGAAUUGGGGGGCAACCUACUACUCUCCCUGAAUCACGUGAGCCGACAAAUCCCCCCCCCCUGCACUCUGGGGCCCCCACCAGAGCCCCAGUGUGCAGGUAAAGGGGCUUCUCUUAGACUCUCUCUCCUUCCAAAGAGAAAAACAAAGCACAAAGAGGGACCUGAAGUAUCUCCUUCUCGGAAGCCUGAUAAGGGACUGGAGUGGUGGCCAGAGCCGUGGAAUCCAACAAGAGGAACAUUACGUGCCAUGUGGCAUGGGGGGUAUUUCCAGAGGGUUCCAUCAGAGGGGCGGUGAGAAGCUCGGACUCGCCUCCAGGAAGGGGUCCUGGGGUCCCUCCACGGAACAGUCCAGACGUGAACGUACGUCAUCAAAGGGAAAGGGUCUGGGUUCAGGCCCCGGGGCCCCGUGAGUUUGGCUGCAAAAUAAAUUGCCCAGACGAGAGAUUUUCA
rnacentral:lncRNA from 1 species